rnacentral:rRNA from 1 species
UUAAAUUGAAGAGUUUGAUCAUGGCUCAGAUUGAACGCUGGCGGCAGGCCUAACACAUGCAAGUCGAACGGUAACAGGAAACAGCUUGCUGUUUCGCUGACGAGUGGCGGACGGGUGAGUAAUGUCUGGGAAACUGCCUGAUGGAGGGGGAUAACUACUGGAAACGGUAGCUAAUACCGCAUAACGUCGCAAGACCAAAGAGGGGGACCUUCGGGCCUCUUGCCAUCGGAUGUGCCCAGAUGGGAUUAGCUUGUUGGUGGGGUAACGGCUCACCAAGGCGACGAUCCCUAGCUUGU